CCUACGGGAGGCAGCAGUCGGGAAUUUUGGGCAAUGGGCGAAAGCCUGACCCAGCAACGCCGCGUGAAGGAUGAAGUAUUUCGGUAUGUAAACUUCGAAAGAAUAGGAAGAAUCAAUGACGGUACUAUUUAUAAGGUCCGGCUAACUACGUGCCAGCAGCCGCGGUAAU
rnacentral:rRNA from 1 species